UACAGAGGGUGCAAGCGUUAAUCGGAAUUACUGGGCGUAAAGCGUGCGUAGACGGUUAUGUAAGUCAGAUGUGAAAGCCCCGGGCUUAACCUGGGAAUGGCAUUUGAGACUGCAUAGCUAGGGUGCGGAAGAGGGAAGCGGAAUUUCCGGUGUAGCGGUGAAAUGCGUAGAUAUCGGAAGGAACACCAGUGGCGAAAGCGGCUUCCUGGUCCAGCACCGACGUUCAGGCACGAAAGCGUGAGGAGCAAACAGG
rnacentral:rRNA from 1 species